AGACGGAAGUGGAGCGAGGACAAAAUGGCUGCGAAGAACCGCCUCAGGACGCGGUCGUGUCUGGAUCCCUCCGCGGAAAAGAAGGCGAAACCGCUUCUCUGAGCCCUGACCGUUAGGCCCCUUCCCACCUCCGUCUAGAACAGAUUCGGCUUCUUGGCUCAGUCCUUCCCCAACUAGCCCAAGCCCUACAUUUCCCCGUUGUUUAUAAAAUAAACAGGUUUAAAUGGUGGCGAGUGUGUUCUUGGUUAGGUGAACCAGGCAUUAGGAAUCAUAGGUUCCAGUAGCCGUGCGUCCUUGAUUUAGACUUUCUGAACGUUUGUAUUUUCAGUAACAUGAGGUGAUAUCUUUCCUGGUUUGACUUUCAUCAAAAAUUAAACGACAGACCAUACCGACGCUUUGAAAACGUGACUGAGCUGGUGCACAAAACAAUGGUGCCUAGAAUUUUGAAUUGUGCAAUGUUGUGCAUGGCCGCGGAUAUGUGGGGCCUUGUGGUUCCAAGAGCCUGUCUCAGGUGUACCGGCCCUCAUCACUGGGCUUCAGAGGUUCAAUCUGCAAGGAGGCAUCUCCUGCCAGGAAAUUGGAAGCAAAGGCCACUCGGCCCUUCUGUUCCUCAGUCAAGUUAUUGUAGACAUGACGACUGGAGUAAGUGAUCACCUGUGGGAUAGACCGAGGCAGAGUCAAGCAGCGUAACUCUCAGCCUGCCUUUCCUGAUGGUGUGAAGAAGAGGAAAGGGAGUACUCCCAGUGGCACAAAGUAGUCAAGCCUGGGGCUGAGAGUCCAAGAGACCUCUGUUCUAAAUAAAAGUUAAAAAUACAGUACAUUUGCACCUAGGCCUUGCCUCUCCUUCCAAAAAUAAUAACACUUCAUGUUUGUGUAGCAUUUUAGUUAUAAAGUAUUAUAUUAAAUGCUCAGAACCACUCCAUCUUACAGGUAAGGAAUUUGAAGUUUGACUUACAUACUGAAGUUCACACAGCUAAGUCAAGGAAAGGAGGAAACCAUGCAAGUGUACAGCUAUGCAUGUAUUAAGCAUAGACUUAUGAAAGGAAAAGAAACCUCGGGACCCCUCGGGAAGCCAAAGGGAAGGUCGAGCUUGGAACGAUGUCGGCAAACCUGCCUCCCAUUCUUUUUUUUUUUUUUUUUUAAGUAUUUGAGAGACUUCUAUGAGACAGGACUGUUUCCUUGGUUUUAUUUAUUUAUUUAUUUAUUUUUGAGACAGUCUCGCUCCGUCACCCAGGCUGAAGUGCAGUGGCACAAUCUUGGCUCACUGUAACCUCCGCUUCCUGGGUUCAAGCAGUUCUCCUGCCUCAGCCUCCUGAGUAGCUGGGAUUACAGGUGUACACCACCAUGCCCGGCUAACUUUUGUAUUAUUGGUAGAGACAGGGUUUCGCCAUGUUGGCCAGGCUGGUCUUGAACUCUUGGCCUCAGGUGAUCCACCCUCCUUGGCCUCCCAAAGUGCUGGGAUUACAGACAUGAGCCACCACGCCUGGCCUGCCUUCCAUUCUAUUCCUGAAUAAGAAAUAAGAUAGCUACAAAGAUAAAAAAAAAAAAAAAAAAAAAGCUUACAGUACUCCUGCACAAUUUGCCCACAAGGUGACUGCUUGUGGACAAAGGACAGACAGAACUCAC
rnacentral:lncRNA from 1 species